AUUGAACGCUGGCGGCAUGCCUUACACAUGCAAGUCGAACGGCAGCACGGGGCAACCUGGUGGCGAGUGGCGAACGGGUGAGUAAUGCAUCGGAACGUACCUUUCAGUGGGGGAUAACGUAGCGAAAGUUACGCUAAUACCGCAUAUUCUGUGAGCAGGACAGCAGGGGAUCGCAAGACCUUGCGCCGAAUGCGCGGCAGAUGUCAGAUUAGCUAGUUGGGGAGGUAAAGGCUCACCAAGGCGACGAGCUGUAGCGGGUCUGAGAGGAUGAUCCGCCACACUGGAACUGAGACACGGUCCAGACGCCUACGGGAGGCAGCAGUGGGGAAUUUUGGACAAUGGGGGCAACCCUGAUCCAGCCAUGCCGCGUGAGUGAAGAAGGCCUUCGGGUUGUAAAGCUCUUUCGGCCGGGAAGAAAUCGCACGGGCUAAUACCCUGUGUGGAUGACGGUACCGGAAUAAGAAGCACCGGCUAACUACGUGCCAGCAGCCGCGGUAACAC
rnacentral:rRNA from 1 species